UUAAUUGAGAGUUUGAUCCUGGCUCAGGACGAACGCUGGCGGCGCGCUUAACACAUGCAAGUCGAGCGAUGAAAUCUUGACAGAACCCUUCGGGGUGAAGAUAAG
rnacentral:ncRNA from 1 species